rnacentral:rRNA from 1 species
GACGAACGCUGGCGGCGUGCCUAACACAUGCAAGUCGAGCGGAGAUAAGCGGAUGGUAACUGAAGUUUGUCUUAGCGGCGGACGGGUGAGUAACACGUGGGCAACCUGCCUUGGAGUGGGGGAUAACACCGGGAAAUCGGUGCUAAUACCGCAUAACAUACACAUACUGCAUGGUGAGUGUAUCAAAGGAGCAAUCCGCUUUAAGAUGGGCCCGCGGCUGAUUAGCUAGUUGGUAAGGUAACGGCUUACCAAGGCGACGAUCAGUAGCCGACCUGAGAGGGUGACCGGCCACACUGGAACUGAGACACGGUCCAGACUCCUACGGGAGGCAGCAGUGGGGAAUAUUGCGCAAUGGGGGAAACCCUGACGCAGCAACGCCGCGUGGAGGAAGAAGGUCUUCGGAUUGUAAACUCCUGUCUUCUGGGACGAAGUAUGACGGUACCAGAGGAGGAAGCCACGGCUAACUACGUGCCAGCAGCCGCGGUAAAACGUCUA